AUAGAGACUCAGAGCUGCAUAUCAAUAAGCGGAGGAAAAGAAACUAACAAGGAUUCCCUUAGUAACGGCGAGUGAAGCGGGAAGAGCUCAAAUUUGAAAUCUUCAAGGUUCUACCUUGACGAAUUGUAGUUUAUAAGAAGUGUUUUCUGUUAGAUGAGUAGCAAAAGUUCCUUGGAAUAGGGACAUCAUAGAGGGUGAGAAUCCCGUAUUUGGUUAUUCAUUCUAGCUUUGUGAUACACUUUCAAAGAGUCGGAUUGUUUGGGAAUGCAGUCCAAAAUGGGUGGUAAAUUUCAUCUAAAGCUAAAUAUUGGCGAGAGACCGAUAGCGAACAAGUACCGUGAGGGAAAGAUGAAAAGAACUUUGAAAAGAGAGUUAAACAGUACGUGAAAUUGUCAAAAGGGAAGCGUUUGACACCAGUGUUGUUUUUCCGAAAAUCAAUUACGAAUGGCUUGAUUCUGUGUUGUAUUGACCUUAUCAGCUUUCUGCACUUUUUUCGAGUCUUUCUUAAUGCACUUUUUCGGUUAACAAGUCAACAUCAAUUUCUUUUGUUGUAAAAGAGUAUUCGGAAGGUGGCUUUCUUUUCGGAGAAAGUGUUUAUAGCCCUAUACUUCUACAAUCGGAGAGAUUGAGGUCUGCAGCGUAGAUCCUUCGGGGUUAGAUACACUUGUGCUAAGUUGUAGCUUUUCAUAGACAACUUGUUGACUAUGUUUAGUCAUGCGGCUUACUCGCUUGUGCUGUUUUACCUACGCUUAGGAUGUUGACGAUCAGCUGAGCGCG
rnacentral:rRNA from 1 species